rnacentral:rRNA from 1 species
UACGUAGGGGGCUAGCGUUGUUCGGAAUUACUGGGCGUAAAGGGCGCGUAGGCGGCUUGUCGCGUCGUCUGUGAAAACCCGCGGCUCAACCGUGUGGUCUGCAGUCGAUACGGGCAGGCUGGAGUUCGGUAGGGGAGACUGGAAUUCCUGGUGUAGCGGUGAAAUGCGCAGAUAUCAGGAGGAACACCGGUGGCGGAGGCGGCAUCCUGGACCAACACUGACGCUGAGGAGCGAAAGCCAGGGGAGCAAACGGG